rnacentral:rRNA from 1 species
UACGUAGGGUGCAAGCGUUAAUCGGAAUUACUGGGCGUAAAGCGUGCGCAGGCGGCUUUGCAAGACAGAUGUGAAAUCCCCGGGCUCAACCUGGGAACUGCAUUUGUGACUGCAAGGCUUAGAGUACGGUAGAGGGGGAUGGAAUUCCGCGUGUAGCAGUGAAAUGCGUAGAUAUGCGGAGGAACACCGAUGGCGAAGGCAAUCCCCUGGACCUGUACUGACGCUCAUGCACGAAAGCGUGGGAGC